rnacentral:lncRNA from 1 species
CAAGACCAAGUAUGGGUCGACACACCAAGAACUGAGCUUUUCUUUCUUCCCAAACCACAUUAUCCCCUUCAUGGGAGACACCUUUAAGAACACCCAAUCACCAACCUCAAACUCUAACUCCCUACGCCUCAUAUCUGCAUAGGAUUUUUGGCAAUUUUGGGCAGCUUUAAGCCUAUCCAAAAUCACCUUCACCUUCUCCAUCUCUUGGUGAACUAAAUCUAGGCCAAACAUCUCAGCCUUGCAAACUUUAAACCACCUAAUGGAGACCUACA